rnacentral:rRNA from 1 species
CGACCGCGUGAGCGAUGAAGGCCUUACGGGUCGUAAAGCUCUGUUGUUAGGGAAGAACAAGUAUCGGAGUAACUGCCGGUACCUUGACGGUACCUAACCAGAAAGCCACGGCUAACUACGUGCCAGCAGCCGCGGUAAUACGUAGGUGGCAAGCGUUGUCCGGAAUUAUUGGGCGUAAAGCGCGCGCAGGCGGUCCUUUAAGUCUGAUGUGAAAGCCCACGGCUCAACCGUGGAGGGUCAUUGGAAACUGGGGGACUUGAGUGCAGAAGAGGAAAGCGGAAUUCCACGUGUAGCGGUGAAAUGCGUAGAGAUGUGGAGGAACACCAGUGGCGAAGGCGGCUUUCUGGUCUGUAACUGACGCUGAGGCGCGAAAGCGUGGGGAGCAAACAGGAUUAGAUACCCUGGUAGUCCACGCCGUAAACGAUGAGUGCUAAGUGUUAGAGGGUUUCCGCCCUUUAGUGCUGCAGCUAACGCAUUAAGCACUCCGCCUGGGGAGUACGGCCGCAAGGCUG